UAGACCCGAAACCCGGUGAUCUAGCCAUGGGCAGGUUGAAGGUUGGGUAACACUAACUGGAGGACCGAACCGACUAAUGUUGAAAAAUUAGCGGAUGACCUGUGGCUGGGGGUGAAAGGCCAAUCAAACCGGGAGAUAGCUGGUUCUCCCCGAAAGCUAUUUAGGUAGCGCCUCGUGAAUUCAUCUCCGGGGGUAGAGCACUGUUUCGGCUAGGGGGCCAUCCCGGCUUACCAACCCGAUGCAAACUGCGAAUACCGGAGAAUGUUAUCACGGGAGACACACGGCGGGUGCUAACGUCCGUCGUGAAGAGGGAAACAACCCAGACCGCCAGCUAAGGUCCCAAAGUCAUGGUUAAGUGGGAAACGAUGUGGGAAGGCCCAGACAGCCAGGAUGUUGGCUUAGAAGCAGCCAUCAUUUAAAGAAAGCGUAAUAGCUCACUGGUCGAGUCGGCCUGCGCGGAAGAUGUAACGGGGCUAAACCAU
rnacentral:rRNA from 4 species